rnacentral:lncRNA from 1 species
CUGAGCCAAGGGACACAUCAAGAGAGAUGUGGGAGGGCCCAGCAGUGCUGAUGUUGCCACAAGGAUGCAGGGUGGCCCUGGCAUGGUGGCACAUGCCUAUAAUCCAGCACUCAGGAAGCUUGCUGCAAGUUCAGGGCCAGCCUGGGCUACAUAGUGAGUACAAGGCCAGCCUGAACUACACAAUGAGACUGUCAAAAAAAAAAAAAAAGAUGCAGGGUGAUAUGCAUCAUGACAAUGUCAUAUGGAGGACGUAGCAAGUGGGCAGGUGCCCUGGAGGAGACACACCACUCAGGCCACAAUGAAAGAAGUGGGGAGGAAGGCAGCAGGGAGUCCCUCCAAGGCUGAACACCUGGGCAUGAGGCCAGGAAGCGCCUCCCCAUGGAUGACAAUGGUUUGCAUUUUAGGUCUUUUAGGAGGGGGGUACUGGGGAUUGAACUUGGGACUUUGUGUUUUUGAGGCAGGCAGCGGAACCACUGAGCUAAAUCCUCGGCUUUUUAGGUCCCCCACCACCACCGGCCUUAUUUAUUCUUUUUUCUUUUUCUUCCAGUACUGGGGAUCGAACUCAGGACCUUGCACUUGCGAGGCAGGCACAGCACCACUGAGCUAAAUCUCCGGCCCAGCCCCAUUUAUUUGUGAGACAGGGUCUUACUCAGUUGCCAAGGUGGCUGGGCUUCAGCUUGCAAUCCUCCUGCCUCAGCCUACCAGAGUAUGGGUACAGGAGAUCUUCUUUUAUCCAACCUGUUUUUCAGGUGUGGUGGUAGGGACUGAAAUUGUCUUGCUUUGUAGCCCAGACUGGCCUCAAACUUGUAAUCCUCUUGCCUCAACCUCCAAGUGCUGGGAUCACAGGAGCAUCAAGACAAGAUAAACUCCCUCCAAGAGAGCUGCUCCUCUACUGGUGAUGUCACAAGGUGAGGACAGGGCUGCCUCUAAGAGCUGAGAUGCUACAACCAAAACACUGAAAUCCUUGUCUUCAACAAGAAAUCCUUGAGAGGGACCAGAGAAAGUGACUGAUCACUUGUAAGAGAACCCCAGGAAUAUUAUUAGCACCUGACUGCUCCAAAGAAAGAGUAGAAAGCAGACGAUACCAGUAUGACACACUCAAUGC